AGUAACGGCGAGUGAAGCGGUAACAGCUCAAAUUUGAAAUCUGGCUCCCUGCGGAGUCCGAGUUGUAAUUUGUAGAAGAUGCUUUGGGUGCACGACCCGGCCUAAGUGCCUUGGAACAGGACGUCGUAGAGGGUGAGAAUCCCGUAUGCGGCCGGCGUCGACGCCCGUGUAAAGCUCUUUCGACGAGUCGAGUUGUUUGGGAAUGCAGCUCAAAAUGGGUGGUAAAUUUCAUCUAAAGCUAAAUAUGGGCCAGAGACCGAUAGCGCACAAGUAGAGUGAUCGAAAGAUGAAAAGCACUUUGGAAAGAGAGUUAAACAGUACGUGAAAUUGUUGAAAGGGAAGCGCUUGCAACCAGACUUGGGCGUCGCUGAUCAUCCAAAGUUCUCUUUGGUGCACUCGACGACGCACAGGCCAGCAUCGGUUGGGGUGGUGGGAGAAAGACUGUAGGAACGUAGCUCUUUUCGGAGAGUGUUAUAGCCUGCGGUGCAAUACCGCCUACCUCGACCGAGGACCGCGCUUCGGCUAGGAUGCUGGCGUAAUGGUUGUAAGCGACCCGUCUUGAAACACGGACCAAGGAGUCUAACAUCUAUGCGAGUGUUUGGGUGCGAAACCCAUGCGCGAAAUGAAAGUGAACGUAGGUGAGAACCCUUUGAGGGGGCAUCAUCGACCGAUCCUGAUGUCUUCGGAUGGAUUUGAGUAAGAGCAUAGCUGUUGGGA
rnacentral:rRNA from 1 species